UCUUGUUUCUAUUCUUUUAAUCGCUCCCUUCCUGGGUUUUAUAUUGCACGCCCGGUCUUCCAGCGUCAUGGUUACUGUAGUAAACAAACUGAAGGUCUGAAUGCAUCUUUUUCUCCCCCUGUAGCAUGAAGAGCAGUUCGCGGUAUCCGGUAGAUAGGAAGCACAAAUAGGCUCUCCUGUUCGUCCUCCAGGGGCCCACGCUAGCCCCUCACCUCCCCUGAAGCCUUUUCUAACCGCUGCGGCCUCCGUGGUCCCCCACGCCUGUGUUCCUGUAGGACGUUUACAGUUCACACGAUGUCUCAUCUCUCGGUAUAUGUCUCCCAGAAACGAAAAUGGACGGCCAUAUGUCACAAGAGAAUGAAAUCUUUGCUCCCAAUCCCUGUCUUCAGAGCUGACCUAGAAGCCAGCCACUCCACUCAGACCCAAUUCGGAUCACUAUGUUCGUGAGGACUUUAACAGCAUCAGACUAACUCUGGACUGUACAUGAACACCAGCAAUGAAGAGGAAGGAAACUUUGAAAAAUGUUAUACACUGGAGGAUUGGCUUUACUGUGGCUAUCUUUUAUGUCAACCCUGAAAUCUGUCUUUAUUAUUAAAAGAAGUUUAAUUUCAAAGGAUGGCUCCCCUUUAAAAUGGUUCUUGGGUGUUGACACUGGAUGCAGAAGCAGAACUUACACAGUCUGAACAAACGGGUGGUUAGAAAAGAUUGUUUCAAGCCUCUGUGUUCCUAAGAUCAUGGCUAAAUUUCCCAAAUUCUGAAUUGAGGUGAAAGGUCAGAGAAAGAGUUCAUUUGGAAUGGGAUCUAGAGGUGUCCCUAAGGAAAGAAAGGUUGGCUGGAUCUGGUGAUUUAGGAGAAAUCCAGUCUGCUCUCACCUGCUGCCAUCUGCCAUCUGCUUCUGCUCCAUCUUCCCAGUCUCAGGGGAUCCCC
rnacentral:lncRNA from 1 species